rnacentral:rRNA from 1 species
CAGCCGCCGCGGUAAUACGUAGGUGGCAAGCGUUGUCCGGAAUUAUUGGGCUUAAAGCGUCCGUAGCCGGGUUGGGAAGUCCUCCGGGAAAUCUGGCCGCUUAACGGUCAGAAUGCCGGAGGAUACUCCCAGCCUAGGGAGCGGGAGAGGCCGAGGGUAUUCCCGGAGUAGGGGUGAAAUCCUAUAAUCCCGGGAGGACCACCUGUGGCGAAGGCGCUCGGCUGGAACGCGUCCGACGGUGAGGGACGAAGGCCAGGGGAGCAAACCGGAUUAGAUACCCGGGUAGUCCUGGCUGUAAACGAUGCGGACUUUGUGUCGGACAAGCUAUGAGCUUGUCCGGUGCCGGAGGGAAACCGUUAAGUCCGCCGCCUGGGGAGUAUGGCCGCAAGGCUGAAACUUAAAGGAAUUGGCGGG